rnacentral:rRNA from 1 species
GACGAACGCUGGCGGCGUGCCUAAUACAUGCAAGUCGAGCGAGUGGAUUAAGAGCUUGCUCUUAUGAAGUUAGCGGCGGACGGGUGAGUAACACGUGGGUAACCUGCCCAUAAGACUGGGAUAACUCCGGGAAACCGGGGCUAAUACCGGAUAACAUUUUGAACCGCAUGGUUCGAGAUUGAAAGGCGGCUUCGGCUGUCACUUAUGGAUGGACCCGCGUCGCAUUAGCUAGUUGGUGAGGUAACGGCUCACCAAGGCAACGAUGCGUAGCCGACCUGGGAGGGUGAUCGGCCACACUGGGACUGAGACACGGCCCAGACUCCUACGGGAGGCAGCAGUAGGGAAUCUUCCGCAAUGGACGAAAGUCUGACGGAGCAACGCCGCGUGAGUGAUGAAGGCUUUCGGGUCGUAAAACUCUGUUGUUAGGGAAGAACAAGUGCUAGUUGAAUAAGCUGACACCUUGACGGUACCUAACCAGAAAGCCACGGCUAACUACGUGCCAGCAGCCGCGGUAA